rnacentral:antisense_RNA from 1 species
UGCGGUAGUGAGGGGAUUUUUUAGUGUGACUACAAUUGUCGCCUAUUUACUUAUCGUUACGAUGCCGUAGCCAAUGUGCAAACAACGUAACAAUACAAC